GUCCACGCCGUAAACGAUGAACACUUGGUGUUGCAGGUAUUGACCCCUGCAGUGCCGAAGCUAACGCGUUAAGUGUUCCGCCUGGGAAGUACGGUCGCAAGAUUAAAACUCAAAGAAAUUGACGGGGCCCGCACAAGCGGUGGAGCAUGUGGUUCAAUUCGAUGCAACGCGAAAACCUUUACCUGGGUUUGAAGUGCUAGUGAAUGCUGUAGAGAUAUGGCAGGCCUUGGGACACUAGUAUCAGGUGCUGCAUGGCUGUCGU
rnacentral:rRNA from 1 species